UACGCCGGGGGCUCGCUUUUCUCUUCCUUCCUUUUCUUCCCUUUCUCUUCUUCUUUUCUUUAAUUUUUUUUUUAAAGCCCAGGGCUCAACCCUGGAAUUGCCUUCAAUACUGGCGACCUUGAGUAUGGCAGAGGUGUGUGGAACUCCGAGUGUAGAGGUGAAAUUCGUAGAUAUUCGGAAGAACACCAGUGGCGAAGGCGACACACUGGGCCAUUACUGACGCUGAGGCGCGAAAGCGUGGGGAGCAAACAGG
rnacentral:rRNA from 1 species